AGAGUCACGCUGUUGGAAGCAACAACCUCUCCUUUUCCUCUCUGCCAUCUGCUUGGCAGCUGCAAAGCAACAACUGUGUGUGAACGCAUCUCCGUCCGUGUUGGCCAGGCUGGUGCUCAGAUUGGCAGUGUCGGCUGGGAGCUCUAUUGCCUGGAACACGGCAUUCAGCCUGAUGGGUAGGUGCCAAGUGACAAGACCACUGGGGGAGGAGAUGACUCCUUCAACACCUUCUUCGGUGGAGGUUCUGGCAAGCAUGUGCCCAGGACAGUGUUUGUAGAGCUGGAAUCCACCGUCACUGAUGAAGUUCACACUGGCACCUACCACCAGCUCUUCCACCCUGAGCAGCUCGUCACAG
rnacentral:lncRNA from 1 species